CCUACGUGAGGCUGCAGUGGGGAAUAUUGCACAAUGGGCGAAAGCCUGAUGCAGCAACGCCGCGUGAAGGAAGAAGGGUUUCGGCUCGUAAACUUCUAUCAACAGGGACGCAAGAAAUGACGGUACCUGAAUAAGAAGCCCCGGCUAACUACGUGCCAGCAGCCGCGGUAAUACGUAGGGGGCAAGCGGUAUCCGGAAUUACUGGGUUUAAAGGGUGCGUAUGCUGUGAGGUAAGUCAGCGGGGAAAUGCCACCGCUCAACGGGGUGAAGUGCCAUUGAUACUGCCUUGCUGGAAUGCGGAUGCCGUGGGAGGAAUGUGUGGUGUAGCGGUGAAAUGCAUAGAUAUCACACAGAACACCGAUUGCGAAGGCAUCGCACGAAUCCGCGAUUGACGCUGAUGCACGAAAGCGUGGGUAUCAAACAGGAUUAGAUACCCGUGUAGUC
rnacentral:rRNA from 1 species